GUUUAGAUAGAAAAUGUUAAUGGAAAGAGUCAAAAAGUGGAUGGCGUGGUGCCAGUAAGAUGGUAUCGAUAUGAUCUAGUCUCAAUUAAGCUAGUCGCAGUUGAAUGAUGGUAUUGCUUAUGCAAAAGAUUUGCCCUUUAACUUUUAUGUUAAGGUUGUUAUUUUCUUGUUAACUGUUGUCUGUCGUUAACAAAGCAAGUAAAAAAAUGCACAUAAUGACAACAGACUUAUCUUUAGAAUUGUUUUCAAAACCUUUGGUUUAGAAACAAAAGACCAAGUGAAAAUGAUACUGGAAAGACUGUUUACCGUUUGACUCCUGUCGCAAUCUAACCUAGUGGGUU